AUACUUACCUGGCAGGGGAGAUACAAUGAUCACACAGGUGAUUUUCCCAGGGCAAGGCUUAUCCAUUGCACUCCAGAUGUGCUGAGCCCUGUCAUUUCCCCCAGUGUGGGAAACUUGACUGCAUAAUUUGAGGUAGUGGGGGACUGUGUUUACGAUCUCCCCUG